rnacentral:rRNA from 1 species
GCAGUCGACGAUGAAGCCUUCGGGUGGAUUAGUGGCGAACGGGUGAGUAACACGUGGGCAAUCUGCCCUGUACUUUGGGAUAAGCCUUGGAAACGGGGUCUAAUACCGGAUAUGACCGAGCCUCGCAUGGGGGUUGGUGGAAAGCUCCGGCGGUACAGGAUGAGCCCGCGGCCUAUCAGCUUGUUGGUGGGGUAAUGGCCUACCAAGGCGACGACGGGUAGCCGGCCUGAGAGGGUGACCGGCCACACUGGGACUGAGACACGGCCCAGACUCCUACGGGAGGCAGCAGUGGGGAAUAUUGCACAAUGGGCGCAAGCCUGAUGCAGCGACGCCGCGUGAGGGAUGACGGCCUUCGGGUUGUAAACCUCUUUCGCCAGGGACGAAGCGCAAGUGACGGUACCUGGAUAAGAAGCACCGGCUAACUACGUGCCAGCAGCCGCGGUAAUACGUAGGGUGCGAGCGUUGUCCGGAAUUAUUGGGCGUAAAGAGCUCGUAGGCGGUUUGUCGCGUCGUUCGUGAAAACUCCACGCUUAACGUGGAGCGUGCGGGCGAUACGGGCAGACUUGAGUUCGGUAGGGGAGACUGGAAUUCCUGGUGUAGCGGUGAAAUGCGCAGAUAUCAGGAGGAACACCGGUGGCGAAGGCGGGUCUCUGGGCCGAUACUGACGCUGAGGAGCGAAAGCGUGGGGAGCGAACAGGAUUAGAUACCCUG